GGGAGUUUGGUCUAGUGGUGUGAUUCUCGCUUAGGGUGCGAGAGGUCGUGGGUUCAAAAUUCCUGCAACUCCCC
rnacentral:tRNA from 1 species